UACGGGGGGAGCAAGCGUUGUUCGGAUUUACUGGGCGUAAAGGGCGCGUAGGCGGCCGGCUAAGUCGAACGUGAAAUCCCCGGGCUCAACCCGGGAACUGCGUCCGAUACUGGCAGGCUUGAAUCCGGGAGAGGGAUGCGGAAUUCCAGGUGUAGCGGUGAAAUGCGUAGAUAUCUGGAGGAACACCGGUGGCGAAGGCGGCAUCCUGGACCGGUAUUGACGCUGAGGCGCGAAAGCCAGGGGAGCAAACGGG
rnacentral:rRNA from 1 species